AAAAUGUGCAAAGCUGUUUGUCUCCCAGUCAGAGACGAAUGGGAGCGACUGCUGGCAUACUGAGGUGUCACACUGAAGAAGAGUGCAGGCAGAGCUGGGCUGGCAAGAACGUGGUCUGCAAGGAACUUGCUUCUUUUGGAUAGGUCGUAAAGCAGGCUUCCUCCUCAAAUGUGACAAAACCUGGGGACAAAAUCCACACGCUUCUUAGAGUAUUUUUGGAUCCAGGGUCCUACUCCAGGAAAAUGGGCUUUGUUGGCAUUAACUGAAAAAAAAUUUGCCUCCUUCUGACCAAGAUAAUGCAUCAGCAGGAUUCCAGACUGAGCUCAUUGUCUUAGAGUUGAAGGAUGCCUUAGCCUAGAACGAUGCAAAAGGAGUUGGGUCAGACCACCCUAGAGGAGCAUGGAAAUGAGCCAUUUCCACACCAUUUGCCUGGAAGAUCCACACUUUUCUUUGGAUUCAGUCUCUUCAAUUUGAUAAAGACUCAUAAAAGAAGAUGUAGUAAAAAUGUCCAGAUAAACGCCUGGUUUGUGAUCCUCAUAGUCCCUCUUGAAAUCACAAUUCUCAUUUCGAUAGUGAGGAACUGUGACAUACACAAAUCAAUCGAGUUGUCUUAAUCAAGCAAGGAGAUGCUUAGAGCUGGAAUGUAAGGAGCUGAGCUUAGUGUUCUUAAUUCAGACUGCCAGACCAUGCUGUCCUCCAAAGUGUUAGGUUAGUAGGCUUUAUGAACUAUUCUUUUUAUUUCACAUGUUUUAUGUGAAAUUUAUCAAUUCUACUCUCUGCAAGAUAACAUUGUGUGGAGCACAUAGAAAAUCACUACUUUUAGGUGCCAAUCAGUUUACCUGCUUAGCAUGGUGCCACUGCCGCCUUUGUCUGAAGGCAUUAAAUUCUUGACAGAGCGUGGCUCUUCUUCUGAAGGGACACUGCCCAAAAGUGUGCCAUGGUUUUGAGAGCCAGGGCCUGUGGUGACGAAGGGGAGCCCUGCAGUCCCCCGCAGCAGCCUGGAGAGUACCCAGCAAAGACCUCAACCAGGGCCAUGAAAAUUAGCCAGCAUAGGUACUGUGCCAAAUCAUUUGAGAGAAAUGCCAGCUGGCCGAGCUGUUAAGCUGUCUUUUCUAGGAGGGAUUCCACUUUCUAGAAAUUUGCCUACUGCAUAUCUAAUGUCUAUUCUCAGUUUACUUUCG
ensembl:lncRNA